GACAGCAGCAGCCGCGGUAAUACGCAGGGUGCAAGCGUUAAUCGGAAUUACUGGGCGUAAAGCGUGCGUAGGCGGUGAGUUAAGUCUGCUGUGAAAUCCCCGGGCUCAACCUGGGAAUGGCAGUGGAUACUGGCUCGCUAGAGUGUGUCAGAGGAUGGUGGAAUUCCCGGUGUAGCGGUGAAAUGGGUAGAGAUCGGGAGGAACAUCAGUGGCGAAGGCGGCCAUCUGGGACAACACUGACGCUGAGGCACGAAAGCGUGGGGAGCAAACAGGAUUAGAUACCCCGGUAGUCCCUGUCUCUUAUAC
rnacentral:rRNA from 1 species